rnacentral:snRNA from 1 species
GCCUUCGGGCAUUUGGUCAAUUUGAAACGAUACAGUAAGCUGAGCUCCGUCCGCCGUGUUCGAUCCCUGUGUUAACCAUCUUUGUAGGAGAAGAUUAGCAUGGCCCCUGCACUAAGGAUGACACGCUCAAUCAAAGAGACGCUUCAAAUUUUU